GUCCAUUCCCGUCCACUCCUGUCCACUCCACAGCUUGUGUACCCAGAGUCCUCCACUUCCACCAAGUGGGAGGGGCAGAAUGGCCUGGACCAGGCCAGGGUACACAGCUGUCACUGCAGGGACUCAAACACAGAUGGCUUUCUAUGUCCCCAGGGGCGCUGCCUGAGCCUGGUCCCAGCCAGGGAGUCUGGGCUCUGCCAUCAGGACCGAGGCAGUCCGGGUCCUUCCUGCAGGCAGUACCUGCCCAGGGAGCCAGCCACCUCUCCAGCCUUUGUGCUGCCCCACUAUGGACAGUGCUGAGCUGGAGACCACGCUGAAGAUUUCAGACCAGCGAGCUCAGCAGAGCUUGGGCCAAGCCCGCUCAGCUGACAGGAGCAGCUCCCGGUGCCUCUUCUCUGCUGGGAGCACCCUCCCUAGGGCCGUGGGUGCUGGGCACUGUCUGAGGCCUGCAGCACGCCCGGAUAGGCUGUGGCCCUGCCGUGCCCACAGUGGAGAGUAGAGCCCUGGCGAUGACCCUGGGAGAGGCGAAGCACAGAGGGGAUGGUGCUGAGGGACAGGCUCGCACCCCGAAGAGGACAGAGCCCCCUCAGCCUUACGCCCCAUGAGUGUGUGCACACAUACGCGUGUUGUGCUUCGUACAACACAAGUGCGGCCUUCGCACCUCCAAACAUCAGCCCACCCCACCGUUGGCCAAGACGUGUAUAUUUUCAGGGCGGCCGUUCAGGGCCAGCACCGAGGACGUGGAAGACUCCUCCCGGUCCCACACCCACGGGAGCCCAACACUGUCCGGGUCCAUUUCUGCUGUGCUCUGUCCCUGUGGGCCAAGCUUCCCAGCCCAGAAUCCUUUUGAAGCCCAGAGACACCUUGGGCUUGGGCCAGCCUGGCAGGGAAGGCUCAGGCAAAGGCUGUGGGCGGAAGAGGCAGGCUGAGCAUCUGCAGGCAGUCGGCACCGCUGAAGUUUACACGGUACUUAAGAACUAAAACCCUGCGAGGGCACGCUUCUGUAACUGCAGCCCACGGGCAGGCUGAGACAGGAGGAUCACCUGUUCCAAACCAACCUGGGCAGCUUUGUGACUUCACAAAUCCUUGUCUUAAACCAACACAAAAACAUGCUCUAAAGUGCUGGAGACGAAGCCAAGGCAUAGCCACAGCCGUUUGUCUGCACCUUUCGGAGUGGAGGACUCAUCCCAGAGUGGCCUGCGGGGGCCGGGCGGGAGCUGGGUGGGGCCACAGCACCGUGCGCACUGCCUGUCCCGGCCCAGGACCCUGACUGGCACUGUCCCCAGCCCUGGGCGUGCAGCCUCCUGGCCCCUGUCGCACACCCCAGACACCCACGGCCGAGACGGAAGCACUGCACCUUUCCUUCCUGUGCCUUGUGAGGACAGGCCUCUUGGAGACGAGCUCUGGCCUGGCUUGUGCGGCGAUGAGGGGUCUUGGGCCCCGGCACACACACGCCCCUUCCGGUGGUGCCCAGUCCUGCAGGACUUCCCGUGCACAGCCAGUGACUGAGGCAGCUGUGUCCGAGGAGAGCAGCCCGUGGCCGGGGAGACGCCUCCCCCCACCCCACUCUCAGUGCUUCCAGUCUGGGUGCCAGGGAAGCCAGGAGGACAGAAGAGGAGGACGGAGGCCUCGCCUGCUGAUGUCGCCCCCGUCGGUGCACAGGGUCACUCGGGGACACUCGAGCUGGACUGGAACCUGAGCCAGUUGUCCCAAACUCUGGGAGGAGGACGUAGGAGGAUUUUGAGUUCAAGCCCAGUCAGGCAAUUUAGGGACUUAACAGGACCCUGUCUUAGAUCCCAGUGUCUGAUGAGGGCCAUCGGUCGUAGAUGAUGACGUCUGUGGUCUCAGUGGGAAAGGGGUGAAAGUCACCAGCUUGGUCUGCAAGCCCUGUUAUGGGAGCACCAAGCUCACUGGCAAGCUGGUGAGUGUGGAACUGGACUCCAGGACUCCCCACAGGGUCACCUGGGAACUCACCCUCCUCCCCGUGCUGCUCCAGCCCUGGGACUGAGAUAAUGGGACCUCCAGGGAGGGGGCACAGCACUCCUGCCACGGCGCUGUCUCACCUGUCAUCAGCUGUCACCCUUUCUGGCCCUGCCAUUUUGGCGAUGUUGCCCAAACUGUGCAAACCCAGUCACCCCGAGAUCUCGGUUGGCCGAAUGAGGGGGGGCGGGUAACCCCUGGGUUGGAGGCUCCUGCAGGCACUGAUGGCUUCUGCUAUGAGCCGUGGGCUCUGCCGGGCCUCACACUUGUGUUUCUUCCCUGGGGAGGGAGUUGGCACCCGGGAAACUGGUAUUUUAUGUCUUUGAGAUAGAGCAGAAGACAGAUGGAUCCCCAAAGUAAAGUGGGGGACUCAGCCAGAUGCUUCUGGUCUGUAAGAAGAAAAACACCACCACCCACAGGCAAGGGAACCCACCCAGCCUUGCCCAGAGUGAGGUACACGGUCAGUCCCUCCUGUCCUCAGUGACCAUCCCACAGGCUGCGGCCCCCCGUGCCACAGGACGCUGAGGGGACUACUGCACCUGUCCCACACCUUCAGGCCCCUGUGUCUUCAGCCCGUGGUCCAGAGGGAUCCUCUCCAUCCCACGGCUCUGGCCGGUCUGUUCCUGGCCUUUUUAUGUUGUGAGAUCCAUUCACACCAAGAGUCAUGAGCUUCACCCACAUGUGCUAAUUUCAGUAGAGAAGCAAAUGCACCCAGUGCCCCAGUUGCUGGCGUAGAGGGCAUGGGACUGAGAGGGACAUCGCAGGGCAAGGGCCAGGGCAUUCGGGAUAGAAAGAAGAUGCUCUCUUCUACAUACCAUCAAGGGAAUUGUGUUACAGAAGCCCCUCGGCACACUGGGAGAAACAAAAACAAAACCAGCAGUUGAGUGGCAGAUGAGGUUAGAGAAAUCAGCUCAUUUCCCUGGUCAGGCAGAGGUGGGAAAGGCCAGGGCCGUGAUCCUGGCCGGCUCUGCAUAGAUCUGCUUCCUGGAGAACUUUGUGCCCAGUGUCUGCUCUGAGGCGCGGUGCCCAGAGAGAUCACUGGCACAUUUCGUCAAACCAUCAUCUAAUCACAGCAAAUACAGUUCGCCUUGGUGCUGAGUCUGGAGGAGCCACAAAUAUGAAGACCAAGGCACGGGUCCAAACUGGAACCUGCUUUGCGUUCACAUACACAGCGAAAACCAGCAGGUCUAUGCUUUUACCCUAGGAAGUUACAAC
ensembl:lincRNA